rnacentral:rRNA from 1 species
CUAAACCUACGGGGCGCAGCAGUGGGGGAUAUUGCACAAUGGGGGAAACCCUGAUGCAGCGACGCCGCGUGAGUGAAGAAGUAUUUCGGUAUGUAAAGCUCUAUCGGCAGGGAAGAAAAAAAUGACAGUACCUGACUAAGAAGCCCCGGCUAACUACGUGCCAGCAGCCGCGGUAAUACGUAGGGGGCAAGCGUUAUCCGGAUUUACUGGGUGUAAAGGGAGCGGAGGCGGCCACGCAAGUCAGAAGGGAAAACCCGGGGCUCAACCCUGGGAGGGCUUUUGGAAUUGUGCGGCUAGAGUGUCGG